CGUAGGGUGCAAGCGUUAAUCGGAAUUACUGGGCGUAAAGCGUGCGCAGGCGGUGAUGUAAGACAGAUGUGAAAUCCCCGGGCUCAACCUGGGACCUGCAUUUGUGACUGCAUCGCUGGAGUGCGGCAGAGGGGGAUGGAAUUCCGCGUGUAGCAGUGAAAUGCGUAGAUAUGCGGAGGAACACCGAUGGCGAAGGCAAUCCCCUGGGCCUGCACUGACGCUCAUGCACGAAAGCGUGGGAGCAAACAGGAUU
rnacentral:rRNA from 1 species